rnacentral:rRNA from 1 species
UACCAUGCAGUCGAGCGGAGAUGAGGUGCUUGCACCUUAUCUUAGCGGCGGACGGGUGAGUAAUGCUUAGGAAUCUGCCUAUUAGUGGGGGACAACAUUCCGAAAGGAAUGCUAAUACCGCAUACGUCCUACGGGAGAAAGCAGGGGAUCUUCGGACCUUGCGCUAAUAGAUGAGCCUAAGUCGGAUUAGCUAGUUGGUGGGGUAAAGGCCUACCAAGGCGACGAUCUGUAGCGGGUCUGAGAGGAUGAUCCGCCACACUGGGACUGAGACACGGCCCAGACUCCUACGGGAGGCAGCAGUGGGGAAUAUUGGACAAUGGGGGGAACCCUGAUCCAGCCAUGCCGCGUGUGUGAAGAAGGCCUUAUGGUUGUAAAGCACUUUAAGCGAGGAGGAGGCUACUGAGACUAAUACUCUUGGAUAGUGGACGUUACUCGCAGAAUAAGCACCGGCUAACUCUGUGCCAGCAGCCGCGGUAAUACAGAGGGUGCGAGCGUUAAUCGGAUUUACUGGGCGUAAAGCGUGCGUAGGCGGCUUUUUAAGUCGGAUGUGAAAUCCCCGAGCUUAACUUGGGAAUUGCAUUCGAUACUGGGAAGCUAGAGUAUGGGAGAGGAUGGUAGAAUUCCAGGUGUAGCGGUGAAAUGCGUAGAGAUCUGGAGGAAUACCGAUGGCGAAGGCAGCCAUCCGGGCCUAAUACUGACGCUGAGGUACGAAAGCAUGGGGAGCAAACAGGAUUAGAUACCCUGGUAGUCCAUGCCGUAAACGAUGUCUACUAGCCGUUGGGGCCUUUGAGG